AGAGAUCAGCGGAAUCCUUGAGUGAGAGAAAAUCCUGCUAGAUAAAAACCAUCACUCACGAAGAGAUGUCCUUUGGGGGAACCAGAUUCAGCAUGAGGAGCAGAAGGAACGGCACUCUGGACAGCACCCGGACCCUGUACUCCAGCGCGUCUCGGAGCAUAGACUUGUCUUACAGUGAAAGUGACUUGGCGAAUUUUAUUCAAGCAAAUUUUAAGAAACGAGAAUGUGUCUUCUUUACCAAAGAUUCCAAGGCCACGGAAAAUGUGUGCAAGUGUGGCUAUCCCCAGAGCCAGCACGUGGAAGGCACCCAGAUCAACCAAAAUGAGAAAUGGAACUACAAGAAACACACCAAGGAGUUUCCCACGGACGCCUUUGGGGAUAUUCAGUUUGAGACACUGGGGAAGAAAGGGAAGUAUAUCCGUCUAUCCUGCGACACGGACGCGGAAAUCCUCUACGAGCUGCUGACCCAGCACUGGCACCUGAAGACGCCCAACCUGGUCAUUUCUGUGACCGGGGGUGCCAAGAACUUCGCCCUGAAGCCGCGCAUGCGCAAGAUCUUCAGCCGGCUCAUCUACAUCGCGCAGUCCAAAGGUGCUUGGAUUCUCACAGGAGGCACCCAUUAUGGCCUGAUGAAAUACAUCGGGGAGGUGGUGAGAGAUAACACCAUCAGCAGAAGUUCAGAGGAGAAUAUUGUGGCCAUUGGCAUAGCAGCUUGGGGCAUGGUCUCCAACCGGGACACCCUCAUCAGGAAUUGCGAUGCUGAGGGCUAUUUUUCAGCCCAAUACCCUAUGGAUGACUUCACGAGAGACCCUCUGUAUAUCCUGGACAACAACCACACCCAUCUGCUGCUCGUGGACAAUGGUUGUCAUGGACAUCCUACCGUGGAAGCAAAGCUGCGGAAUCAGCUAGAGAAGUACAUCUCUGAGCGCACUAUUCAAGAUUCCAACUAUGGUGGCAAGAUCCCCAUUGUGUGUUUUGCCCAAGGAGGUGGAAGAGAAACUUUGAAAGCCAUCAAUACCUCCAUCAAAAGUAAAAUUCCUUGUGUGGUGGUGGAAGGCUCGGGCCAGAUCGCUGAUGUGAUCGCCAGCCUGGUGGAGGUGGAGGAUGCACUGACGUCUUCCGCCGUCAAGGAGAAGCUGGUACGCUUUUUACCCCGCACGGUGUCCCGGCUGCCUGAGGAGGAGACUGAGAGUUGGAUCAAAUGGCUCAAAGAAAUUCUUGAAAGUUCUCACCUAUUAACAGUUAUUAAAAUGGACGAAGCUGGGGAUGAGAUUGUGAGCAACGCCAUCUCCUACGCUCUGUACAAAGCCUUUAGCACCAAUGAGCAAGAUAAGGAUAACUGGAACGGGCAGCUGAAGCUUCUACUGGAGUGGAACCAGCUGGACUUAGCCAAUGAUGAGAUUUUCACCAAUGACCGCCGGUGGGAGUCGGCUGACCUUCAAGAAGUCAUGUUUACGGCUCUCAUAAAGGACAGACCCAAGUUUGUCCGCCUCUUUCUGGAGAAUGGCUUGAACCUGCGGAAGUUUCUCACCCACGAUGUCCUCACUGAGCUCUUCUCCAACCACUUCAGCACGCUUGUGUACCGGAAUCUGCAGAUCGCCAAGAAUUCCUAUAAUGAUGCCCUUCUCACGUUUGUCUGGAAACUGGUUGCAAACUUCCGAAGAGGCUUCCGGAAGGAAGACAGAAAUAGCCGGGAUGAGAUGGACAUAGAAUUCCAUGACGUGUCUCCUAUUACUCGGCACCCCCUGCAAGCUCUCUUCAUCUGGGCCAUUCUCCAGAACAAGAAGGAACUGUCCAAAGUCAUUUGGGAGCAGACUAGGGGCUGCACUCUGGCAGCCCUGGGAGCCAGCAAGCUUCUGAAGACUCUGGCCAAAGUGAAGAAUGACAUCAAUGCUGCUGGGGAGUCCGAGGAGCUGGCUAAUGAGUAUGAGACCCGGGCGGUCGAGCUGUUCACCGAGUGUUACAGCAGUGAUGAAGACUUGGCAGAACAGCUGCUGGUCUAUUCCUGUGAAGCUUGGGGUGGAAGCAACUGUCUGGAGCUGGCGGUGGAGGCCACAGACCAGCAUUUCAUCUCCCAGCCUGGGGUCCAGAAUUUUCUUUCUAAGCAAUGGUAUGGAGAGAUUUCCAGAGACACCAAGAAUUGGAAGAUUAUCCUGUGUCUGUUUAUUAUACCCUUGGUGGGCUGUGGCUUUGUAUCAUUUAGGAAGAAGCCUGUCGACAAGCACAAGCAGCUGCUUUGGUACUACGUGGCGUUCUUCACCUCUCCCUUCGUGGUCUUCUCCUGGAACGUGGUCUUCUACAUCGCCUUCCUUCUGCUGUUUGCCUAUGUGCUGCUCAUGGAUUUCCAUUCGGUGCCACACCCCCCUGAGCUGGUCCUGUAUGCGCUGGUCUUUGUCCUCUUCUGUGAUGAAGUGAGACAGUGGUACAUCAAUGGGGUGAAUUAUUUUACUGACCUGUGGAAUGUCAUGGACACGCUGGGGCUUUUUUACUUCAUAGCAGGAAUUGUAUUUCGGCUCCACUCUUCUAAUAAAAGCUCUUUGUAUUCUGGACGAGUCAUUUUCUGUCUGGACUAUAUUAUUUUCACUCUAAGAUUGAUCCACAUUUUUACUGUAAGCAGAAAUUUAGGACCCAAGAUUAUAAUGCUGCAGAGGAUGCUGAUCGAUGUGUUCUUCUUCCUGUUCCUCUUUGCGGUGUGGAUGGUGGCCUUUGGUGUGGCCAGGCAAGGGAUCCUCAGGCAGAAUGAGCAGCGCUGGAGGUGGAUAUUCCGCUCGGUCAUCUACGAGCCCUACCUAGCCAUGUUCGGCCAGGUGCCGAGUGAUGUGGACGGUACCACGUAUGACUUUGCCCACUGCACCUUCACUGGGAACGAGUCCAAGCCGCUGUGCGUGGAGCUGGAUGAGCACAACCUGCCCCGGUUCCCUGAGUGGAUCACAAUCCCCCUGGUGUGCAUCUACAUGCUAUCCACCAACAUCCUGCUGGUUAACCUGCUGGUCGCCAUGUUUGGCUACACGGUGGGCACCGUCCAGGAGAACAAUGACCAGGUCUGGAAGUUCCAGAGGUACUUCCUGGUGCAGGAGUACUGCAGCCGCCUCAAUAUCCCCUUCCCCUUUGUCGUCUUCGCUUACUUCUACAUGGUGGUGAAGAAGUGCUUCAAGUGUUGCUGCAAGGAGAAAAACGUGGAGUCUUCUGUCUGCUGUGAGUGGUUCAUCCAUGUGUGCAUGGGAUCAGAAGCAGUGAUUAAUUUCAGGGAAGGAUGCCUGGUCUGUCUCUCAAUAGGAAGGAAGUAUUCACAGUUAUUCCACUGUUCGUAUCUGUACAUCUGUAAAGAUCAGUCAUCAGACCAACCAAUGAAUUGCUCUAGAGAAAUUGUAGAUAAAGAAAGCCUGUAGAUCUACUGGGUAUUCUGAUUUGUGGAGAAUGAACGACUUUUGGACAAAUGAUGUAAUAAUAAUGUAAAUGGUAUGUUGAACAGGCAGAAUUCAUGGGUUAGGGUCCGAUCAUGACUUUGUUUUUGUUUUUCAUUGUUCCCAUGAAUUUCAUUCUCUAGGAACCUUUAAACCUGAUUCCAGGAGGGUUUGUGACUCUGCUUAGGAACAGAAAAUCUUACAAUUGUUUUGCUUGAGAAAACGUUAUGUCAGUUUAGAAAUAGGAAUGUGCAGCUGGGCAUGGUGUCUUAAGCCUGUAAUCCCAGAACUCGGGAGGCCAAGGCAGGCAGACCACUUGAGGUCAGGAGUUCGAGACGAGCCUGGCCAGCAUGGUGAAACCCCAUCUCUACUAAGAAUACAAAAAUUAGCUGGGUGUGGUGGUAUGCACUUGUAGUCCCAGGUACUCGGGAGGCUGAGGCAGGAGAAUUACUUGAACCUAGGAGGCGGAGGUUGCAGUGAACCGAGAUUGCACCACUGCACUCCAGCCUGGGUGGCAGACUGAGACUCC